rnacentral:rRNA from 1 species
AGGACGAACGCUGGCGGCGUGCUUAACACAUGCAAGUCGAACGGUGAAGCCCUUCGGGGUGGAUCAGUGGCGAACGGGUGAGUAACACGUGAGCAAUCUGCCCUUGACUCUGGGAUAACUUCGGGAAAACCGGAGCUAAUACCGGAUAUGACGCGCGGCCGCAUGGUCUGUGUGUGGAAGGAUUUAUUGGUCAGGGAUGAGCUCGCGGCCUAUCAGCUUGUUGGUGGGUAAUGGCCCACCAAGGCGACGACGGGUA